ensembl:misc_RNA
GGAUUCUUUAUGUUGAAUCCACAUCUGUCUCUCUACAGUUUGCACUCAUUGGAGACGUACAGAAUAAAAUGUCCAAUAUUUGAGGACUGCUAACACAUUUCCUUAUUCCACUCACUCCACAAAGCUCUUUUUCUUCAAACUAAACAUGCCUGUUAUUUCAAACAGGGAGGCAGUGUGGGGCAGUGGAAAGAAAGCCUGCUCUGGAGCCAGACACAU